ensembl:rRNA 5S_rRNA 5S ribosomal RNA
GCUUACGGCCACACCGCCUAGUUCAUGCUUGAUCUCGGAAGCUAAGAUAGGGUGGGCCCGGUUAAUACUUGGAUGGGAGACCGCCUGGGAAUACCAGGUGCUGUAAGCU